AUUGAACGCUGGCGGCAUGCUUUACACAUGCAAGUCGAACGGUAACAGGUCUUCGGAUGCUGCCGACUGGCGGACGGGUUUGUAAUACAUCGGAACGUACCUAGGCGUGGGGGAUAUCUACUCUACAGAGUAGUUAAUACCGCAUACGAUCUAUGGAUGAACGCAAGAGCCCAUCGGGGCUUGUUCUACUAGAGCGGCUGAGGGCAGAUUGGGAUGUUGGUGGGGUAAAGGCUUACCAAGCCUGCGAUCUGUAGCUGGUCUGAGAGGAAAGACAGCCACACGGGGAGUGAGACACGGCCGAGACUCCUGGGGGAGGCAGCAGUGGGGAAUUUUGGGCAAGGGGGGAGAGGGUGAUCCAGCAAUGCGGCGGGAAGGAUGAAGGCGCGCGGGUGGUAAAGUGCUGUAGUACGGAAGUAAGAGCCGGGCGCUAAGAAGGGCGGAACAUGACGGUACCGGAGGAAGAAGCACCGGCUAACUACGUG
rnacentral:rRNA from 1 species